rnacentral:rRNA from 1 species
GCGAGUCAUUGUAGUAAUACAAGGCAGACGGCUCAGUAACGCGUACUUACCUAACCUAUGGACGGGAAUAACCUCGGGAAACUGACCAUAAUGCCCGAUAGAACAUUAUGCCUGGAAUGGUUUAUGUUCCAAAUGAUUUAUCGCCGUAGGAUGGGACUGCCGCCUAUCAGUUUGUUGGUGAGGUAAUGGCCCACCAAGACUAUUACAGGUACGGGCUCUGAGAGGAGUAGCCCGGAGAUGGGUACUGAGACACGGACCCAGGCCCUAUGGGGCGCAGCAGGCGAGAAAACUUUGCAAUGUGCGAAAGCACGACAAGGUUAAUCCGAGUGGUUUCUGCUAAAGGAACCUUUUGUCGAUCCUAGAAACACCGAUGAAUAAGGGGUGGGCAAGUUCU